UCGCGAGUUCCUCGUAACUUUACGAGGAAAUUACGAGGAUUACUAAUUUCAUAUAUGUACACGCGCGCUUCUCACCUCCAUUUCUUCUCCACUUCCUCUCUCUUUCGUAGCAAUGGUACGUACUCUCUCUAUUUCCUCUCUAAUUUGAUUAGUUUAGGGUAGAUUAGGUGGUUAGUGUAAGGAAUUUAGAUAGGUUUACGGAUUUUAUGUUAAUUAGUGUUGAUUAGGUGGUUAAUGUAGGGAAUUUAGCUAGAUUUAUAGAAUUUAUUAAUUAUAGAAUUUGUUAAUUACUGUUGAUGUUAAUUUUAAAAAUUAUUUUUUUAUCAGACGGUUCGAAAGAGCAAACUUAUUGCCCAUUACAGAGAGAUGUUUAGUGAGCCUGGUAGUCGUUUAGACCCGUCUUCUUCAGC
rnacentral:lncRNA from 1 species